UUUACUGAGAGUUCUCCCUCUCUCUCUCUCUUUUUUUUCCCCCCUCUGAGUCUCCCUGACUUUUUCAUAUGGCUGAAUUUCCACAGAGCUACAUGGAAAUCUGAGCUACACAGGAGGCUGACAACCAGAAGAAUUGAGCUAUCAUGCCCUCAGCUGAUGGCAGCUUUUAUAGACCAACCUCUGCUGAGCACACAGCUGCAAGGAAAUGAACCCAUGCGUUAAUGUGCAACACUGUACUGCAUAGACUUAGCUGAGAAAUAAUUUGUACAAAUUACAGAUGGAAACCAAAUCUAAAGAAAGAAGCCUGCUACGAUUGUUGCUUGGGAGGGACAAAUCUAGAGGGGUGCUCACUGGAUCUUUUGGCACUGUCUGAGAGGAAAUGCUUCACAAAAUGUAUCUUCACAAAAUAUAUCACAAGGUUUAUCUCCAGUUAUCAAACAAAAACAGUUCCAGACAGGUCAGAGACUCUUCAUCCCUGGAGGCUUUAAGAACUCAGAAGCAACAUCUGAUCUAAUCUUAAGCUGGCCAUAGUCCUGAUUCUUAAGUGAUAUGGGCCCAGAUGUACCAGUGAUCACUUCCAGCCAGCACACCCAUGGCUUUGAAUCUGGAGGAUAUGCCCACUGGACCAGUUAUGGGGCCUGGAGACUGUUCUGCACCUCUGCAUUGUGACAGUGUUCUUUCUCACCUUUUCUGCUCAUAGAAUACAAAUGUCCCAUCUGCAAGAGAAGUGACAUGAAAACGAGCAACAUCUGCAACAGUUGUAUGUAUUCAUAUCUAACUCUUGAGAGGACUCAUGGCUGGACUCUUUAGAAAGGUUCUGAUGUUUUGUGAAACAGCAAGCAAUUAAGAAAAAAAUAUGUUUGACUAUAGGCUCCCAUUGAGUAUUGCUUUUAAUAUCUGUCAAGUUGGUGUUCUUAAAAGACAGUCACUGAAUUAUUAUCAAGUUGUAUGCAGAUAUAAUUAAGAGACUGCUGUAUGAAAUGCAUCUUUUUAAAAUGGUCCCUUAUUACUAACAUGAAUAUUUGAUUCUAAAGAUUCUGUUUAGUGGAGGCUAAGCAAAAAAAAAACAAACUCAUAAGCAAAUCUCCAUGUGAGUUGAGUGCAUAAACACUCAUUCUGGUCAAAGAAGUAUCAGUGUGUGCAGGUGUUGUUGGGUUUUUGUUUCUUUGGUUUUCUUUUUAAUUAGCUGGUUCUAACUGUUAUUGAUAGUGAUCCAAAAUCUGAGUUCGUUAUCUGUGUUAACAGUUGUACAACUGUAGCUCUUCCGAGCACUGACAGAGCUCAAGGCACACAUUCAUGAAAGUUCUCGGCUUUUCUUCACACUGAAGAGUGACUUCUUGCAGGAACUGUCAUUUUGGUGACUAACUAGGCUAGUCUGGGAUAUAUAAGAAUGAUCGUAAGUAUUUCUCAGGUUUCGUUAGUUAGGGUAGGACCUUUUGUUUGACCACUUAGAUAAAUGCCCUGAGUGUAGACCCCAUGCAGAUAUGUGAUCUCCUGAGAAACAGUUAUGUCCUACACUGAUGUGGACGCACAAGGUUCUCCAGUUCUUUGCUAUUUGCAAAGAGCACAAUGCCUGUACUCUGCUCAAAAGUUGUUUUUCCCAGGAAUUCUAAAUGUUAAAAGAUUCUUACAUGCUGAUAAAAAAAAAUAAAAAUAAAAAAAAAAAAUUCUCUCCAACUGUGCAAAAGACUCACGGACCUAGAGAAAACAAUGAAACAUCUGAGCUUCUACCCUAGCACUGUGUUCUUUGGAGUUAUGCCAGAUGGUUUAGGUUCCUUAUAAUUUCUCAUACGCAAAAGUCUUUUGUGCAGCCUGGUGUUAAUGCAGCAUCCUGGUAUUUGCACUGCUUAUUUAAAUGCUAAAUGCAUUCCAAGAGUUACUGAAGAAGACAACAUCUUCAUGCUGAGAAAGGGUACAUGUGAGGCACCCAGUACAGUUCAGCCUGUUAGGUAAUAAUAGGUAAUAGUCUCGUGUGGGUUGGAAGGGACCUUAGAGAUCAUUGAGUCCAACCCCCCGGAUUCGAGACUCCUGUGC